UCUUUGCCAGCUUCCGAUACGCCUUCUGGAUGUCGGCGUCAGAGGCAGUCGGGGCAACGUCAAGAAUCUCGUAUGGAUUUCUCACGACUUACUCCGGACGCACAUUGUUUAUCCAAAAUCACGAGCACUGCACGUAAGAUCAACAAUGCUACAACACCCUUCUCUCUCACACCAACUCGUCUGAUGGCGAANUACCAACCCGCCCACGGCGCGAUACCGCAUGUGCUAAGGAUGCCGCUUUUAAAGGCGCUGG
rnacentral:misc_RNA from 1 species